AGCAAAGAAGAACGCAUUCUGGAGUUGGAGACUGAAAAUGCCAUUCUUCACCUGAGGCUCGCCGAUUGUCUGGGGAAACUUCGUCGGGAUCAUGCAGAAGAGGCAGAAGCAGAAGCCCAGAAGCGUUGGCAACACCAGAGAGUUGUGCAGCAAAGCACCCAGUCUGCCCUGGCCAAACUCCUGUCUGAAGUUCAGAUUUUGAAGCAGGACCUGAGAGAGGUGUUUGCGGUGUAUGUGAACUUCGCCACUGAGUUGGAGAACCAGAGCAGGCUGCUGCUGGAACAAGUCGGCCAAGCCAGCUUCGCCCUCCAGGGCCACCAUGGCAAUGAUGUGCACAGUUUGCAGGCUCAGAUGGAGGCUCUAGAGCGCUCUCUACUGGAGGAGAAGGAGCGGAGCAGGACUGAGAGGGAGAGGAGGAAGAUACUUCACAACACCUUGGUGGUGAGGAUCUUGACUACAUUUUAA
rnacentral:lncRNA from 1 species